rnacentral:rRNA from 1 species
GCGGCGUGCAUAACACAUUCAAGUCGAACGGAGUUACUGCGAAUGAGGUCUUCGGACGGAUUUUGCCUUAACUUAGUGGCGGACGGGUGAGUAACGCGUGAGCAACCUGCCUUUGUGAGGGGAAUAACGUUUGGAAACGGACGCUAAUACCGCAUAACAUACACUUAUCGCAUGUUAGGUGUAUCAAAGAUUUAUCGCACAGAGAUGGGCUCGCGUCUGAUUAGAUAGUUGGUGAGGUAACGGCUCUCCAAGUCGACGAUCAGUAGCCGGACUGAGAGGUUGAACGGCCACAUUGGAACUGAGAUACGGUCCAGACUCCUACGGGAGGCAGCAGUGGGGAAUAUUGGGCAAUGGACGCAAGUCUGACCCAGCGACGCCGCGUGAAGGAAGAAGGCCUUCGGGUUGUAAACUUUAGUUAUCAGGGAAGAAUAAAUGACGGUACCUGAAGAGAAAGCCACGGCUAACUACGUGCCAGCAGCCGCGGUAAUACGUAGGUGGCGAGCGUUAUCCGGAUUUACUGGGCGUAAAGGGUGUGUAGGCGGGACUGCAAGUCAGAUGUGAAAAUUACGGGCUCAACUCGUAACCUGCAUUUGAAACUGUGGUUCUUGAGAGUCGGAGGGGUAAAUGGAAUUCCCAGUGUAGCGGUGAAAUGCGUAGAUAUUGGGAGGAACACCAGUGGCGAAGGCGAUUUACUGGACGACAACUGACGCUGAGACACGAAAGUGUGGGGAGCAAACAGGAUUAGAUACCCUGGUAGUCCACACUGUAAACGAUGAAUGCUAGGUGUAGGGGGUAUCGACCCCUUCUGUGCCGGAGUAAACACAAUAAGCAUUCCGCCUGGGGAGUACGGCCGCAAGGUUGAAACUCAAAGGAAUUGACGGGGGCCCGCACAAGCAGCGGAGCAUGUGGUUUAAUUCGAAGCAACGCGAAGAACCUUACCAGGUCUUGACAUCCAAUAAAACUUGUAGAGAUACAUCGUGGACUUCGGUCCGUAUUGAGACAGGUGGUGCAUGGUUGUCGUCAGCUCGUGUCGUGAGAUGUUGGGUUAAGUCCCGCAACGAGCGCAACCCUUGUGAUCAGUUACUAACGGGUAAAGCCGAGGACUCUGAUAAGACUGCCGGGGACAACUCGGAGGAAGGUGGGGACGACGUCAAAUCAUCAUGCCCCUUAUGACCUGGGCUACACACGUGCUACAAUGGCCACUACAGAGAGAAGCGAGCCUGAGAGGGGGAGCGGAUCUCAAAAAAGUGGUCCCAGUUCGGAUUGUGGGCUGCAACCCGCCCACAUGAAGUCGGAGUUGCUAGUAAUCGCAAAUCAGCAUGCCGCGGUGAAUACGUUCCCGGGCCUU